rnacentral:rRNA from 1 species
CUAGCGACUUCAGAGUUUGAUCCUGGCUCAGGACGAACGCUGGCGGCGUGCUUAACACAUGCAAGUCGAGCGGAACUUAUUGGAUAGAGGCUUCGGCCAAUUGAAAAUAAGUUUAGUGGCGGACGGGUGAGUAACGCGUGAGGAACCUGCCUUUCAGAGGGGGACAACAGUUGGAAACGACUGCUAAUACCGCAUGAUGCAUAGAGAUCGCAUGGUUUUUAUGCCAAAGAUUUAUCGCUGAAAGAUGGCCUCGCGUCUGAUUAGCUAGUUGGUGAGGUAACGGCCCACCAAGGCGACGAUCAGUAGCCGGACUGAGAGGUUGACCGGCCACAUUGGGACUGAGAUACGGCCCAG